rnacentral:ncRNA from 1 species
GCAGGGCAUGUUUCAUAACGACAUUGCGGAAUGACACGCCCUUUAAUCGGGCGGUGCGGAUAUAUUGUGCGGUCAUCACCUCGGCCAUCGACGCGCGGGUCAUCCGCGCGAUAUAGCCCAUACCGUAUAAUGCGAUGGUCAGGACGGGCAGGAAAAAGUUUUCAAACGUAG